rnacentral:ncRNA from 2 species
GCACGUCUUCAGGGCGGGGUUUGUUUCCCCACUGGUGGUAUAGUCCAUGAACCGUUAAUUCGGCCGAACUGGUGAAAUUCCAGUACCAACUGUCAAAGUCAGGAUGAAGAGAAGACAGAG